rnacentral:rRNA from 1 species
CUGCCACCGAAUACAUUAGCAUGGGAUAAUGGAAUAGGACCCUGUCCUCCUAUUUUCAGUUGGUUUUGGCAGCGCGAGGACUAGGGUAAUGAUUAAUAGGGAUAGUUGGGGGCAUUAAUAUUUAAUUGUCAGAGGUGAAAUUCUUGGAUUUAUGAAAGAUUAACUUCUGCGAAAGCAUCUGCCAAGGAUGUUUUCAUUAAUCAAGAACGAAAGUUAGGGGAUCGAAGACGAUCAGAUACCGUCGUAGUCUUAACCAUAAACGAUGCCGACCAGCGAUUAGGAGACGUUGAAUACAAAACACCACCAUCGGUGCGGUCGUCCUUGGCGUCGGUCUUUCGGGGCCGGCGCGGGGACGGCUUAGCCCGGUGGCACCGGUGAAUGACUCCCUAGCA